rnacentral:tRNA from 1 species
CUUAAAAUCCGUCGAUUUUAGAAAUCGUGAGGGUUCAAGUCCCUCUAUCCCCAAUAAAAUAAAACCCCA